UCAGACUUCUUUACCCAGAUUUUUUGUUGAGUUUUAUUCACUAAAUCAACCUUUAUCUUGGGUUUUUGAGACGACACAAAAGUAUGAUCAAUUUUAGCGGAAAGUGGUGAGCGGGCCAUUAUUCUUUUAACUAAUUUCAAGUACUUAAAACACCUAGGUCGUAUAUGACCAGGAGCAUGACAAAAAUGACAGGUAGGGACAAAACGUUUUCUUUGAGAUGACUGAGUUGAUGCAACUGUCGCAACAGUUUGUGAAACAGUGGAUUGUUUAACAAAAUUGAUUUUUCUUUUUGGAUCUUCUUUCUGUUUCAAUGCAUCAUUAGAUAGCUG
rnacentral:lncRNA from 1 species